UACGAAGGGGGCUAGCGUUGCUCGGAAUCACUGGGCGUAAAGGGCGCGUAGGCGGCGUUUUAAGUCGGGGGUGAAAGCCUGUGGCUCAACCACAGAAUGGCCUUCGAUACUGGGACGCUUGAGUAUGGUAGAGGUUGGUGGAACUGCGAGUGUAGAGGUGAAAUUCGUAGAUAUUCGCAAGAACACCGGUGGCGAAGGCGGCCAACUGGACCAUUACUGACGCUGAGGAGCGAAAGCGUGGGGAGCGAACGGG
rnacentral:rRNA from 1 species